rnacentral:misc_RNA from 1 species
GAUGAAGAACGUAGCGAAAUGCGAUAAGUAGUGUGAAUUGCAGAAUUCAGUGAAUCAUCGAAUCUUUGAACGCACAUUGCGCCCUGUGGUAUUCCGAAGGGCAUGCCUGUUCGAGCGUCAUUAUCAACCCUCAAGCCCGGCUUGCCGUUGGGUCCCGUAGGGGUGCGAAUCUCAACGGACCUCAAAGAUAGUGGCAGAGCCCGUACGGACCCUGGAUGCAGCGAGCUUUCUGGCACGCAUCACAGCAAUCCGCCGGCUCGGUCUUAACCGUCAAUUUUUUUUCACUGGUUGACCUCGGAUCAGGUAGGGAUACCCGCUGAACUUAAGCAUAUCAAUAAGCGGAGGA